rnacentral:rRNA from 1 species
UACGAAGGGGGCUAGCGUUGCUCGGAAUCACUGGGCGUAAAGGGUGCGCAGGCGGCCAAGUGUGUGAGGCGUGAAAGCCCGGGGCUUAACCCCGGAAUUGCACCUCAAACUACAUGGCUAGAGCAUUGGAGAGGGUAGCGGAAUUCACGGUGUAGCAGUGAAAUGCGUAGAUAUCGUGAGGAACACCAGUGGCGAAGGCGACUACCUGGCCUGUUCUUGACGCUGAGGCGCGAAAGCUAGGGGAGCAAACGGG